rnacentral:rRNA from 1 species
AACGAACGCUGGCGGCAUGCCUAACACAUGCAAGUCGAACGAAGUCUUCGGACUUAGUGGCGCACGGGUGCGUAACGCGUGGGAAUCUGCCCUUGGGUACGGAAUAACUCAGAGAAAUUUGUGCUAAUACCGUAUAAUGUCUUCGGACCAAAGAUUUAUCGCCCAAGGAUGGGCCCGCGUAAGAUUAGCUAGUUGGUGGGGUAAAAGCCUACCAAGGCGACGAUCUUUAGCUGGUCUGAGAGGAUGAUCAGCCACACUGGGACUGAGACACGGCCCAGACUCCUACGGGAGGCAGCAGUGGGGAAUAUUGGACAACGGGCGAAAGCCUGAUCCAGCAAUGCCGCGUGAGUGAUGAAGGCCUUAGGGUUGUAAAGCUCUUUUACCAGGGAUGAUAAUGACAGUACCUGGAGAGUAAGCUCCGGCUAACUCCGUGCCAGCCGCCGCGGUAAUAC